UUUUUUUUUUUUUUUUAAUCACUUUGGGGUGAGGUUUCUCUUUUCUUUUUCUUGCUCUCCAUUUUUCCCUUAAUUUUCUCCUUCUGUACUACGAAAUCUGAUCGCAUUGUAAGAUAUUACAUGAAAUAGAAUGAGUUGUAAUAGUUUGUAUUUGAUUGUCAAUGCAUAAUUAUAUUUUCAAUAAGAGUAUAAGGGAAUUCCAGAGGAAAAAAAAAA
rnacentral:misc_RNA from 1 species